rnacentral:ribozyme from 1 species
UGCUCAGCAACUCCUAUCCCUAGCUCCUCGUGGUACUGGACGGGGUACGAGCAACCUUAGGGAUGAUGACAAGGAAAAGG